rnacentral:rRNA from 1 species
UACGUAGGGACCAAGCGUUGUUCGGAUUUACUGGGCGUAAAGAGCGCGUAGGCGGUCCGGUAAGUCGGUUGUGAAAGUCGGGGGCUCAACCCUCGGAUGCCGAUCGAUACUGUCGGGCUAGAGUCCGGAAGAGGCGAGUGGAAUUCCUGGUGUAGCGGUGAAAUGCGCAGAUAUCAGGAGGAACACCAAUGGCGAAGGCAGCUCGCUGGGACGGUACUGACGCUCAUGCACGAAAGCGUGGGGAGCAAACAGG